AUCAUUAAAAAUUGAAAAAUAAGGGUUUGUGAGGUGUGGUGGUGGCUGAAUUUUAGUAAGAAGAAAAGGGGAAGAAAUUGUGAUUUGGAAACCCUAAUCUUUUAUCUUCCAUUUUAGAGGUUGAAAACUUGUAUUUGUGCAUUGACAUAUUAUCGAGUGUUUGUUCGAAGUUGCGGAGAAGGCGGUUCCGGAAGAAGGAACUAAGGAUUUGUUGAUUUGAAGUUGAAGUUGCUUUUGGAAGACUUGGAGGUAUUGCCAUUCAUGGAAGAAUGGUAUUUUGUGUAGACACUUAGAUAUCCCACCUCAUUAUGGCUCU